CCUACGGGAGGCUGCAGUGGGGGAUAUUGCACAAUGGGGGAAACCCUGAUGCAGCGACGCCGCGUGAGCGAAGAAGUAUUUCGGUAUGUAAAGCUCUAUCCGCAGGGAAGAAAAUGACAGUACCUGACCAAGAAGCCCCGGCUAACUACGUGCCAGCAGCCGCGGUAAUACGUAGGGGGCAAGCGUUAUCCGGAUUUACUGGGUGUAAAGGGAGCGUAGACGGUUAUUUAAGUCUGGAGUGAAAGCCCGGGGCCAAAACCGGGGACUGCUUUGGAAACUGUGUAACUGGAGUGCAGGAGGGGCAGGUGGAAUUCCUGGUGUAGCGGUGAAAUGCGUAGAUAUCAGGAGGAACACCGGCGGCGAAGGCGGCCUGCUGGACUGAAACUGACGUUGAGGCUCGAAAGCGUGGGGAGCAAACAGGAUUAGAUACCCCUGUAGUC
rnacentral:rRNA from 1 species